AGGAGGAACAGCCCCAGUGACGGGGCAGCUCUGGAAACCUGGAUUCUGCUCCGGCAGGAACUCCGGAGCUCUCGGUCUGCAGGGCCUGGAGGCUCCGGGGCGGG
rfam:Canis lupus familiaris chromosome 34, whole genome shotgun sequence.